UUCUGACCGUAAACGAUGCCAACUAGCGAUCCGCCGAUGGAAAUUGUAUUGCCUUGGUGGGGAGCUUCCCGGAAACGAAAGUCUUCCGGUUCCGGGGGAAGUAUGGUUGCAAAGCUGAAACUUAAAGGAAUUGACGGAAGGGCACCACCAGGAGUGGAGCCUGCGGCUUAAUUUGACUCAACACGGGGAAACUCACCCGGCCCGGACACUGUGAGGAUUGACAGAUUGAUAGCUUUUUCAUGAUUCAGUGGAUGGUGGUGCAUGGCCGUUCUUAGUUCGUGGAGUGAUUUGUCUGGUUUAUUCCGAUAACGAGCGAGACUCUAACCUACUAAAUAGCUGCUACAUAAUCUCUGUGUAUACAGCUUCUUAGAGGGAUUUGCGGUAUUCAGCCGAAAGAAAUUGAGCAAUAACAGGUCUGUGAUGCCCUUAGAUGUCCGGGGCUGCACGCGCGCUACACUGGCAAAAUCAACGUGCUUGUCCUACCCCGAAAGGGGCGGGUAAACCAUUGAAAAUUUGCCGUGAUUGGAAUCGGAAAUUGCAAUUAUUUUCCGUGAACGAGGAAUUCCAAGUAAGUGCGAGUCAUCAGCUCGCGUUG
rnacentral:rRNA from 1 species